CACUGCUCAGUAACACGUGGACAACCAGCCCUGAGGACUGGAAUAAUCCCGGGAAACUGGGGGUAAUUCCAGAUAUGUCAGAACUCCUGGAAUGGGUUCUGGCAGAAAGGCUCCGGCGCCUCAGGAUGGGUCUGCGGCCUAUCAGGGUAGUAGUGGGUGUAACGUACCUACUAGCCUACGACGGGUACGGGUUGUGAGAGCAAGAGCCCGGAGAUGGAUUCUGAGACAUGAAUCCAGGCCCUACGGGGUGCAGCAGGCGCGAAAACUUUACAAUGCGGGCAACCGCGAUAAGGGGACCUCGAGUGCUGGGUUACAAACCUGGCUGUUGGGCUGCCUAAAAAGCAGUCUAUAGCAAGGGCCGGGCAAGACCGGUGCCAGCCGCCGCGGUAACACCGGCGGCUCGAGUGGUAACCGCUAUUAUUGGGUCUAAAGGGUCUGUAGCCGGCCGACUAAGUCUCUUGGGAAAUCUGGCAUCUCAAGUGUCAGGCUGCCAGGGGAUACUGGUCGGCUUGGGACCGGGAGAGGUGAGAGGUACCUCGGGGGUAGGGGUGAAAUCUUGUAAUCCUCGAGGGACCACCAGUGGCGAAGGCGUCUCACCAG
rnacentral:rRNA from 1 species